UACGGAGGAUCCAAGCGUUAUCCGGAUUUAUUGGGUUUAAAGGGUGCGUAGGCGGACUCUUAAGUCAGUGGUGAAAGUUUGCGGCUCAACCGUAAAAUUGCCGUUGAAACUGAGAUUCUUGAGUGUAAAUAAAGUAGGCGGAAUGUGUUGUGUAGCGGUGAAAUGCUUAGAUAUAACACAGAACACCAAUUGCGAAGGCAGCUUACUGGGAUACAACUGACGCUGAGGCACGAAAGCGUGGGGAUCAAACAGGAUUAGAUACCCUGGUAGUCCACGCAGUAAACGAUGAAUACUAGCUGUAUGCGAUAUACUGUAUGUGGCACAGCGAAAGCGUUAAGUAUUCCACCUGGGGAGUACGUUCGCAAGAAUGAA
rnacentral:rRNA from 1 species